UUUCCCUCUCAUUUCCGUGUCGAUCUCUCACCAAAGCUUCUACAAAAAUCUCUUCAAUUCCACUGUCGUAGCUCACUUACUCACAAUGAAGCCCAACCAACAGCCAUUAUCGUCACCGUAUCCACAGCCAUCUUCUUCUUCGCUUCUCAAAGACAUUUCGAAUUUCAGAACUCCAAAACGCCCCUCCCAUGCCCCCGACUUUACCUCCUCCCCUUGCCCCCAAUUCUUCACCGCCACCAAACAAACCCCUAAGCCAUCUCCUACUUCAUCCUUUCGCAGGUACCGCCACCGCCCUUCCCUUUCUUCCCGCCUCAAGCAUAAAACCGCUACUGCCCGUCGUCUCAAAGCAUUUGAGCUCGAGCAAUCCCAGUCCUCACGCAAGGCUCAGAUACAAAAAGAACAGUCUCUUAAAUCGCUUGCCAAGUCUCUCACUACUUGGCUUAAUUUCCUCUUCCAAAACCCUAGGUCCUGUGGAUGUGGAUUGACAGAUCAUGAAGUGGAUACCGCGGGAAAUUUGGGGAAGAGGGAUGCUGGACCUAGGGGUAGGGUGGUCUGUCUGGAUGCAUCAUGGCGGAGUCCAAAGAGGCGGAGGGACCUGGGCUGGCGAGGCGUUGAACACGUGGAGGGGGAGGACGAGUUCUUGAAUUCUAAGCGCUAUGGGUUGUUGAGGAAUUCAUUGAUGGAUGUUUGUAGUUUUGAUGAUUUGAAGCAAAGGAUGAGUGUUUAUUUGAGCUUGGCUAGUUGCAAGGAGAUUUUUGAUGCCAUGAGUCACGUGGUUAAGAAUAUUGAUGAAGGAAGGUUGAAUAUGAAGUCACAUUGCCCUAUUGUAACUGAUGUUGGAAUGAAAGAGAAGGGCAUGCGAAUUCUUAUGUGCUACAAUCCAAUUUGGCUUCGAAUUGGAUUGCAUAUUAUUUUUGGCUGUGAUUCAUUGUUGCCCAAUGGAGAUGUCAAUUCUGGUCAAGAAAUUGCGUUCUUGAAGAUGGUAAUUGAGAAGCAGCUUUUCUCACAUGCUGGACUAGCGAAAGCUUAUGCUUAUAACAAGAUGGUUGAAGGGUUAUACAGACCAGGUUACUAUGAAAUUUUGGGUAAUGUAAUAUUAAAGAGGUUUUUGCUGCUGGUUCUUAUACUUGAUAGAGCCAAAUCUCAUAGUGCUCUUUCUCUAAAGUAUGGAAUUGAUGGAGUUGAUGGGGGUUCUCCGCUUUUAUUCACGGUGCAAUCUAGUAUCAAGUCUAGUCGUCAAAUGAUUAAUGAUUUUUUAUCAUCGGAGAUAAUGCUCGGAGAAGGUAACCUUCUUGCUCAUCUGGUGAUCCUAGGUUACAAAGUGUCUUAUCAGCAGUAUGCUCUGGUCGAGUACGACUUUAGAGUGAUGGAUAUAUUUGUGGACCUACAAGAUGGAGUGCGGCUUUGCAGAGCCAUUCAGCUAUUGCAAAAUGACUCAUCUAUUCUUAUGAAAAUGGUAGUUCCAUCAGAUACAUGCAAGAAAAAUUUGAUAAAUUGUGGCAUUGCACUGCAAUAUCUAAAAGGUGCUGGUGUAACAUUGUGCGAUGAAGAUGGAGUAAUGAUUAUGGAAGGUGAUGUGGCUAAUGGUGACAAAGAACUAACCAUUAGCUUGCUUUGGAAUAUGUUUGUUCACCUGCAGCUGCCACUUCUGAUCAACAACACAAUCUUAGCUGAGGAAAUUUUGAAAAUUCAACGAACCAAUGUGGACCUUUCAAACAGUAUUAAUCUUAGCUCCUUUACCUUGGACUUGCUUUUGAAGUGGAUCCAGGCAGUCUGUGAACAGUAUGAUUAUAUGGUCGAUAAUUUUUCUUCUUUGCUUGAUGGAAAAGCCAUAUGGUGCUUACUUGACUACUACUUCCGCAAAGAACUUUGUUGUUCUCAUUCUCCUAAGGAAUCUCAUGACAGUAGAAGUGGAGAAUCCAUUAUGUCAGCUAAUAAUUAUACAGAUGCAGUCCACAAUUUCAUAUUAUCACAGAAGUUGAUAACCUUGUUGGGGAAUUUUCCAGAGAUUCUGCAGAUCAGUGACAUACUUGAACAUAGUGGUGCAAUUAGUGAAGGGAGUGUGGUUGUUCUAUUGGUCUUUCUCGCAUCGCAGCUGACUGCAAAUAAAGCCAUGGAUCAGCUGAAUUUUCAUAAACUGUUGUGUUGCAAAUGCCAAAGUCCAGAGAGGAGACAUUCAAGUACUGAAAACCGUGUUGUGAGUUUGAAAGCAGUGCUGGAGCAAGAAGAAAUUGAUUGUCACAGUGGUGGAGGUUAUUAUUUUUUAUUUAGCAAUAGAAGUCUUUUCAGCUUGUUAUUUUCUUAUUUUGACAUCUUGUUUCUUUUCCCUUGCACCACCAAGAGCAUUUCAAGUGCAUGGGUUAAAUUGUGGAAAGUAAUGAUUUAACUAAAAAGUGCUGAAGGCUAGGAUGUAUCCUGUAUUUCCUUCUCUGGAUCUGAAUUUGACAGGGUGAUUUGAGGUUGUGAAUUAUCACAAUUUAUAGAAAUUGGUUUAUGCAUGUGGAUCUUACAGGGUCAUUAUUAUCCACUUUCUGUGUUAGAAAGCAUAAAAUUCUUGUAGUGUUUAAUAACUUUUUUUUUUUGGUAUUAUUCUUGAUGCACAGAAGGAAAACAUGCUUCACACAAGGGAAAUGAUUACAUUUUCCCCAAAGAGAGAAAAAAAAUAAUAGAUAAUAAAUAGAUUAUCAAAUGCUACCAUUCUGCAUUUGCAGAUCUAGGUAAUAAACCAAAAACCAUAGUCCUAAUGAUUGUUGUUUUAUAUAAUUUUUUUCCUGCUUUUGUUUUCCUUUUAUUACAGAUGCUGCUAGAAAGUUUAAGGCCAUUAAGGCCUGGUGGCAAGAUAUGGCUGAGAGGAAUAACAUAUUUAUUAUAAAGCCAGCAACUUCUACUUUGCAGCACAGCUCGACUAGCAAAUCCAGCGCCAAUAUUCAAAGAGAAAAUGCAGCAACACUCAUACAGUCACACUUGAGGAAAUCAAUUGCACGCCACAAUUUUUUGAAGACAGUCAAUUCAGUUUUACUUUUGCAAUCUGUCAUUCGGGCUUGGUUAAUGGUGAAGAAAAAAUCUGCACUCUAUGAAUUCAGUAUUAUCAUGGUUCAGGGGUCUAUACAUGAAAAGUGGAAACGGUCCGAACAAGUUGGGAGAUAUGUCAAGUUUAUUGUUGAUAGGCACAGGUUUGUCAGGUUAAAAAAAUCAGUUCUGUUUAUCCAGCAAGCUGCAAGGAUUUGGAAGAUGCGAAGACUUCAGGCUGGAAGCAUUAGAAAUUAUGAUGUAUCCACUACAAAUUUAGUUAAUGCUGCCAUAGUUGUUCAGAAAUAUGUUCGUGGUUGGAUAGCAAGGUCUAGGCGUAAGGUCCUGCAGAUAAAGAUAGCUUCACAAGUGUGCAAAGUGAACUCUCUCCACAGUCACAACCUAGCUGCAGCUAAAAUCCAGAGUCAACUUCGAGGUUGGCUGUUUAGAAGGAACUUUUUGAAACAGAAGCAAAUGGUAACAAGAAUUCAAAGCAAUUUUCGACGCCUGAGAUUUUGGAGGUCCUUUCAACAACUCAGAAUUGCUAAAAGGUCUAUCAUCACCAUUCAGUCUCAUGUACGUGGAUGGAUUGCACGGAGAGUAGCUUGGAGGCACAGGUACCUCGUUGGUGUCCUUCAAAGAUGUUGCCGUGGUUGGCUAAUAAGGAGGAAGUUUUUGCUCCAAAAAGAUGCGGUAGUAAUGAUCCAAAGUGCUGUUCGAUGCUCAAACUGCUUGAAGGCAUUUCAUUGCAGAAAAAAUGCAGCUAUUGAAAUUCAACGGUUUGUCAGGGGGCAGAUCACUCGAAAACGGCUCUUAGUUGGCUGUGUGCAGAGUUGUGAAUCGGACAUAAUGAUAUCUUCAAUAUUGAAGCUGCAAAGGUGGUGGAGAAGUGUUUUGUUGCUUAAACUAAAAACAAAGUCAGCAAUUAUUAUACAGUCUUGUCUUCGAGGUUGGAUUGGCAGGCAAAAGGCCUCUAAAGAAAGGCAGUCUGUUGUGAUGAUUCAAUCGCACUGGAAAGGUUACCUAUUGCGCAAAGAGUCUAGAGGGCAGCUAUUGGAUUUGCGCUUGAGAGUACAAAGGUCAGCUAAAAAUGUCAAUGACAGUAUGCGCAUUAUUAACAGACUCAAAAUGGCACUUUCGGAACUACUGAGUAUGAAAAGCAUUAGUGGAAUCCUUCAUACCUGUGCAACCUUGGAUAUGACUACACAACAUUCUCAGAAAUGUUGCGAGGAACUUGUGGCUGCGGGCGCAAUUGGCAUUUUACUGAAGCUAAUUCGUUCAGUCAGCCGAAGUAUACCUGAUCAGGAGGUUUUAAAGCAUGCACUCUCAACUCUCCGGAACCUUACCCGUUAUCAACAUUUGACUGAUGUGCUAAUUGAAAGCCAUGGAUCGAUAGAAAUAAUUUUCUGGGAAUUUCUUAGGAACAAGGAGGAAGGUUAUUUUAUCGCUUCAGAGAUUCUGAGAAAGAUCUGUUCAAAUCACAAAGGUGCUGAAUCCUUGAGGAAGCGACCUGCCCUCUUGAAAAGGUUACAUAGUCUUGUGGAAGAACUCACAAGGAAGUCAACUAUUGAUAAAAGGAAACCCCUUGGUGCGGCUGCAAGAGAGAAAGCAGAAAGAAGAUUGAGAGAGGCCCUUGAUCUCCUGAAAUUGAUUACUAAUAUGCCAAGUGUGAAAGUAUGAGUAUGAAUGAAUAUGUUUUUAUGGUGUCAGAUAGCUACAUUGCACUCUAAAUAGCAUGGACAAUUCAGCUUAUAAUGUUACUGUCAGUGUUCUUUUGUUUACGGUGUAGUUGAAAAAGGGCGUAUUGGGGGCUUAUCUAGAGCCCUGAGCCAAAUGGUGUACAGAAUGCCUCGGGACGAUAUUGGAUUGCCU
rnacentral:misc_RNA from 1 species